rnacentral:rRNA from 1 species
UACGUAGGGGGGCUAGCGUUGUCCGGAAUCAUUGGGCGUAAAGCGCGUGUAGGCGGCCCGGUAAGUCCGCUGUGAAAGUCGGGGGGCUCAACCCUCGGAUGCCGGUGGAUACUGUCGGGCUUGAGUGCGGAAGAGGCGAGUGGAAUUCCUGGUGUAGCGGUGAAAUGCGCAGAUAUCAGGAGGAACACCGGUGGCGAAGGCGGAUCUCUGGGCCAUUACUGACGCUGAGGAGCGAAAGCGUGGGGAGCGAACAGG